AUAGCAUUAUCAGUGCUGUCAGUUGUUAGUGUUCCAAAAGUGGUCCUCUAUGUUUUGCCUGUCUUGUUCGUCUAAAGUGCCGAAUAACCAUUUCUGUACAUUGUCUAAUAAAUUGAUAAAAAGCCUUUGUCCCGUUCACAAGCGGGGUCGGCUCGUCGUGAUCGGCUUCGCCUUCUAAGCUAUGUUGGUUUUAAAUUGGUUUAUUACGAUCAAAAUUUCCAUGGUGGAUCACGGUGAACCGUGACUCUUCUGUUAUUUCGUGUAUAUUUAGUAGUCCUGUUACUGGAGUCGUGAUCAGUAAGAAUUUAAAAAGGAUCGGAAAAAUGCGUAAAGUUAUUAAAGUAACUGUCCUUGAAUUAUUUCCAUGAGUGAAAGUUAUUUUACUAUUUCUUGUAACAUAUUCUAUAUUUUUCUGUUGGGUAAUAUUUGAGACACUUCCUUUUCUAAAAUUUGAAGUAUCAAAUGUUUGGUUCCGUUUAUCUAACUAUUCUUUUUGAAGAUAUUUCUCUAGGGUAUCGAGUACCUCUGGGUUUGGUGUGCCCAUUGAAUCAUAAUAUUUUAUUGUCUUAUUCGCAAAGUUGAUUAUGGUUAAACACCAAUGUUAUUCGUUGAUAUGAACAGGUAUUAAAAUUAUAUUGUAUGUGAAAAUAUAUGUUUUCCGCGUCCAUC